rnacentral:lncRNA from 13 species
CCGCAGGCGAGUGCUAGAAACUCGCCAGGAACCAAGCCCGCCAGCCCGCGUCCUCCUGUUGCCAAGGGCAACCCGUUGCUAAGGAAGCAUAUCCGGGCUGGAACUAGACCAAAGGCCUAGAGAAGAGGGGACGCCAGGGUUCAGCCAUAGAGGACAGAAAAUCCUGGUCCGCCACCUGCUGGCGGAAAUUAGGCGGGCGUGGUGGCGUGCCCCUCUGGUCCCAGCUGCUCAAGAUGCUGACGUGGAAGGAUCAACCCAGGUGGCAGAGGUUACAGUGAGCCACCUGGGUUGAUCCUUCUGUUGAGUCUCAUUCUGUUGCCCAAGCUGUAGUGCAGUGGCCGAGAAUGAGCCACUGCGCUCCAGCUUGAGCAACAGAAUGAGACUCUGUCUCAAGAAAGAAGAAGAAAGAACAAGAAGGAGAAGGAAAGGGAGAGGAGGAGAGGAGGAGGAGGAGAAAGAGAAGAAGGAGAGAUCAAAGAAGAGGAAGAAGAAGAAAGAAGAGAAAGAAGAAGGAUAUUGGACUUAUCACUCUGGCCUGCCUUCAGCAAGAAGAAUCCUGUCAAGUCAGUCUAGCUGGAAUCCCCCUGACCCUGAUGUUUCCUUUUAGUGUUUUUUUAAUCUACUAAUCACCGCCCUGCUCUUUGGCUAUAAAUCCCCACUUGUCUUUGUAUUUGGAGUUGAACUUGCUUUUUCUCCCCCUACUGUAAGACCCCACUGCAGUGGUCCCUUGAAUAAAGUCUAUCUUACCCUCUUUAACA